rnacentral:rRNA from 1 species
UACGGAAGGCAGCAGUGGGGAAUAUUGCACAAUGGGCGAAAGCCUGAUGCAGCUAUGCCGCGUGUAUGAAGAAGGCCUUAGGGUUGUAAAGUACUUUCAUCGGGGAGGAAAAACAAAACUAAUAAUUUUAUUUCUUGACGUUACCCGAAAAAGAAGCACCGGCUAACUCCGUGCCAGCAGCCGCGGUAAUACGGAGGGUGCUAGCGUUAAUCAGAAUUACUGGGCGUAAAGAGCACGUAGGUGGUUUUUUUAAGUCAGAUGUGAAAUCCCUGGGCUUAACCUAGGAACUGCAUUUUGAAACUGAAAUACUAGAGUAUCGUAGAGGGAGGUAGAAUUCUAGGUGUAGCGGUGAAAUGCGUAGAUAUCUGGAGGAAUACCUGUGGCGAAAAGCGGCCUCCUAAACGAAUACUGACACUGAGGUGCGAAAAGCGUGGGGAGCAAAACAGGGAUUAGAUACC